UACGUAGGGUCCGAGCGUUGUCCGGAAUUACUGGGCGUAAAGAGCUCGUAGGUGGUUUGUCGCGUUGUUCGUGAAAACUCACAGCUCAACUGUGGGCGUGCGGGCGAUACGGGCAGACUAGAGUACUGCAGGGGAGACUGGAAUUCCUGGUGUAGCGGUGAAAUGCGCAGAUAUCAGGAGGAACACCGAUGGCGAAGGCAGGUCUCUGGGCAUUAACUGACGCUGAGGAGCGAAAGCAUGGGGAGCGAACAGG
rnacentral:rRNA from 1 species